GAUGAACGCUGGCGGCGUGCCUAAUACAUGCAAGUCGAGCGAACGGACGAGAAGCUUGCUUCUCUGAUGUUAGCGGCGGACGGGUGAGUAACACGUGGAUAACCUACCUAUAAGACUGGGAUAACUUCGGGAAACCGGAGCUAAUACCGGAUAAUAUUUUGAACCGCAUGGUUCAAAAGUAAAAGACGGUCUUGCUGUCACUUAUAGAUGGAUCCGCGCUGCAUUAGCUAGUUGGUAAGGUAACGGCUUACCAAGGCAAUGAUGCAUAGCCGACCUGAGAGGGUGAUCGGCCACACUGGAACUGAGACGCGGUCCAGACUCCUACGGGAGGCAGCAGUAGGGAAUCUUCCGCAAUGGGCGAAAGCCUGACGGAGCAACGCCGCGUGAGUGAUGAAGGUCUUCGGAUCGUAAAACUCUGUUAUUAGGGAAGAACAUAUGUGUAAGUAACUGUGCACAUCUUGACGGUACCUAAUCAGAAAGCCACGGCUAACUACGUG
rnacentral:rRNA from 1 species